AUCUACUCCAGACCUCAGUCCAGACUUGGUCCAAAAGAGCCCAGCCUCAGAGAUGAAAAGAGGGCCUGGAGAUAGCAUCAUUUGGAGAGCGGGCCAAAGGAAUCAAGAGUCUCAAGACUUGCACCAGUUACCUGGAACCAGACAAACAUGCCACCCAGCUGCUUGAGACCAGCUCGUGCUGAAUUCAGAAGGAGAGAGCAAAAUACCGGAGAGAAAAUCUGUAAAGGUUUCAUCUGAAAAAUCAAAGAUUUCUCAUCAUAAGCCUCAGAUAUUGAACCAACUACUGUGGCACUGUGGCAAGAGGCAACAGUGGCUUUGCAACUGGAUGAAAAUGACAGCAAUGGAUGUUGUUUUACUGAUCAAGGGAAACAAAGGAUAAGUUUUACUUUCCACCUAAAGUUUGGAUGUCAAGACCCGAUGCACCUUCAGAACAUCAGUUAAAAAUAUCCCUAACUGGCUGCUCAUCUGAGAUCAAUAGAAUAUUCAAGUAAUAAAGGUACCUCCUGGUUAAAAUUGUUGCACCACACUUGCUGCAUGUGCUCAGGUUCUAACUUCUAACUUGCCAGAUCCUACGAAACAAUUGGACCGCUGGCUGUGUCUAUUGUGCUUCUUUUUUGUAUUAACACAUAUUUAAAAUGGCAAAGUUCUAAGCAGGAUAUCAGUUUCAAGAGUUGCUGAGAAUAUACAGAAAUUAGUUUCUCAUCAAAACCAGAAUCACUGGAAAAUCCAAUAGUUGACAGCAAUGUUUUCAAAAUGAGCUACCUGUCACAAGUUAAUCAUUAUCUGCUAAAUGACAAAAUCACCAUUCUUUUAAUGUUGCCCUUGUAAAUAAUCUUACAAAUCCCUAGUCUCUAUUCUAUUAGUCCUCGGACUAUUCUAAUUUAUUGAUAUAAAAGACUUAGACGUACAUGCUUGCUGUAGUUAUGUUUUUGAUACAAUUUUGUUUCAAUUUUUCUCAUGCCGACGUUAAUAAUCACGUUUCCUGUGCAAUUUAGUCACACUGUAAUGUCUGACUAGUAGUGCUGCAGUGAUCCUCAGAAUGCCAUAGAUCCUUAUCCUCCCUUGUAAGAAUACUGCAAUGAUUCAUUCAUGUACUUCGCAAAU